rnacentral:rRNA from 1 species
CCUACGGGAGGCAGCAGUCGAGAAUCAUUCACAAUGGGGGAAACCCUGAUGGUGCGACGCCGCGUGGGGGAAUGAAGGUCUUCGGAUUGUAAACCCCUGUCAUGUGGGAGCAAAUUAAAAAGAUAGUACCACAAGAGGAAGAGACGGCUAACUCUGUGCCAGCAGCCGCGGUAAUACAGAGGUCUCAAGCGUUGUUCGGAAUCACUGGGCGUAAGGCGUGCGUAGGCUGUUUCGUAAGUCGUGUGUGAAAGGCGCGGGCUCAACCCGCGGACGGCACAUGAUACUGCGAGACUAGAGUAAUGGAGGGGGAACCGGAAUUCUCGGUGUAGCAGUGAAAUGCGUAGAUAGCGAGAGGAACACUCGUGGCGAAGGCGGGUUCCUGGACAUUAACUGACGCUGAGGCACGAAGGCCAGGGGAGCGAAAGGGAUUAGAUACCCUGGUAGUC